UUUAACCUUUUGAAUACUGUUCUCUUCUGCAGAAACCCUAUCUAUCUCGCUCUCCCUUAGGCACAGAAGAAACUAGCAGCCCCAACUCAAGACACAUACACUCAGCUUUCUCUCUCAAACCGAAAUUUCAUUUCUUACCCAGAUUCAUUCUACAGAGCAAGAGAGCCAAACAUGUCGAUCGAAAUGCCCAAAGGGCUCCCCUUUUCAGUUGAUACAUGGAGUUCUUCUUCAAAGAGAAAGAGGCACCAUUUCUUAACUCACGCCCACAAAGACCACUCCACUGGGAUUUCCUCCCACUUUUCUUACCCGAUUUACUCAACCCAACUCACCAAAACCGUCCUUCAACACUACCUCAAGCUUGAUGUAUCUUUGUUUGUGGGCAUUAAAGUUGGGCAAUCUGUAGCUAUUGAUGAACCGGAUGGAGCCUUCACUGAUACGGCUUUCGAUGCCAAUCACUGUCCUGUCCUUGACCAUUCUUUAGCUGAGGUUAGAAGUUGCUCCGAUUUUGGUCAAAUUAAAAACCCAAGCUUAAGCCCUUCGAUUUUGGACCCAGAAGCAAAAGCACUCUCAGACACUGAGACGAAGCAAUGGAGGAUAAAACUGAGUCUGUUUCAUUCAACAAGAGAAGAGCAGAGGGUAACGAUAAUUGCUUUUUUUCUCUAUAGUUAACGGUGAAAUCUGUAAUUGCUUGCAUUGGUUUCUGGGUUGUGUUCCUUUCUUUGAUUCUGGAUAAUUAAUGUGAUUUUAUCUCAUGUGGAUAAUAGUUCAAAAGUGACUAACUCUGAGGUAAGUUCAAAUGGUAAGAAAGAAGUAUUUUCUACUCUACUAACCCUAGUUGAAGCUUCCGCCGCUUCCUUCAUUUUUGACUUUCAUCUUCAGAUAGGUUACUCUUCUAUUCUCCCAGAGUCCCACAGCAUCUCUCCUUAUCUCUCAGACGACUACCCACCACCGCCGGCGCCUCCCUCGCGUGUCGCCUCUCGCACGGCCAGAACCCCUCGCCUCUGGCGCCUCCCUCACGUGUCCCCUCUCGCACGCCCAGAACCCCAUCGCCUCCGGCGCCUCCCUCACGUGUCCCCUCUCGCACGUCCAGAACCUCAUCGCCUCCGGGGCCUCCCUUCUCUCACGGACAGAACCCAUCCCCUCUCGAUGGAGGGGAUACUACUGUUAGUGACACUGAGGAAUGAAGUGAAGGAGCUGGAUUGCUUGGAGGAAGCUUGAAGUCUGACUUGAUGAUUAGUUGUGUAAUUUGUGUAAUUUCAGAUUUCAGAUUUGAUGAUUAGUUGUUGACUUGUUGGGAAUUUGGUAUGUAUGUUUAUUUCAGAUUUGAACUAUAUGUUUAUUUCAAGUUUGCUGAUUUGAUGAUUAGUUGAUUUUUUUUUUUUUUUUCAAGUUUGCAGGUUUUCAAAUUUCCAGGUUUAUUUAAGAUAUAAUGCAGUGUUAGAGAGUUGAACUGCAUAUUUGUUGUUGAUUGAGUUUCAUUUUUUUUCAUGGCUACUUGUAGAUUAUGGAAGGGAUUUCUGCAACUCCGACUUCUAUACCAGCUGAAACUGCAGACUCUAGCAUAGGGACGACCCCCACACCGAGUCCGAGUGCUGCAGUUAUUCAUAGUGAUGUUCCAAUAAUGAUAGAGGGAUUGAUCGGACUAGUGCAUUCUACUAAAGCCUCUUCAAGUUCCAGAGAAGAUGACCAAUAUUAUUCUUCAAGCUCUGAAAAUUACUGGACAAAGAGGCAUUAUCAACAAAGGCUGGGGUUGGUAAUUCAGUACAAUCAAAUGAUUCUAUGUACUUAGUGGACAAUUGCCCCCAUGAUGACUCUUCCUCGGAUGCUCUGUUGUGGUCAGGAACGUUACCAUAGCCUGACUCCCAUGUAUUACUGCAGUGCAGCUGCAGCUGUUGGUCUAUGAUAUCACAAGCAUGGAGUCAUUUGUUUUUAGCAAGCUAAGAAGUGGGUUUUUGAAUUGCAAAGACAAGCAAAUCCAACUUUAAUAAUGUUCUUGGCUGGAAACAAGGCUGACUUGGAAGAGAAGAGAAAAGUAGGGACUGAGAAAAGUAGUCCUCAUUUAGGAAGCAGAGAUCUAUCCGGGCAUAAAUGGUUAGGAAGUAGAGACAGUACGUAGUCUGCAGAAGGCAAUCAGAAAACAAGUAGUGAAGUCUUUGACCAUUGCGCAAUAGAUACACUACUGAUUUCUCAUGGGACAAGUACACUCUUCAUGAAGGACCUUUUGAGGAGGUUGGAGCAAUGUGCUAAAACUUCUAUCAAUGGGGUAGAUUAGUUUAUGCUGAUGUUAACAAACUAUAUUUCAUGGUUUGAUUAUGACUUUCAUCAUUGGGAUAUAUGAUAAUACAUUGGAAGUUAUGUCUUUUUAAAUAA